rnacentral:rRNA from 1 species
GACGAACGCUGGCGGCGUGCUUAACACAUGCAAGUCGAACGGAAAGGCCCUGCUUUUGUGGGGUGCUCGAGUGGCGAACGGGUGAGUAACACGUGAGUAACCUGCCCUUGACUUUGGGAUAACUUCAGGAAACUGGGGCUAAUACCGGAUAGGAGCUCCUGCUGCACGGUGGGGGUUGGAAAGUUUCGGCGGUUGGGGAUGGACUCGCGGCUUAUCAGCUUGUUGGUGGGGUAGUGGCUUACCAAGGCUUUGACGGGUAGCCGGCCUGAGAGGGUGACCGGCCACAUUGGGACUGAGGUACGGCACAGACGGCACCGGGAGGCAGGAGUGGGGAAUAUUGCACAAUGGGCGGAAGCAGGAUGCAGCAACGCCGCGUGCGAGAGGACGGCCUUCGGGUUGUAAACCGCUUUCGCCUGUGACGGAGCGUGAGUGACGGUAAUGGGUAAAGAAGCACCGGCUAACUACGU